rnacentral:rRNA from 1 species
UGGGGAAUUUUGGACAAUGGGCGAAAGCCUGAUCCAGCAAUGCCGCGUGUGUGAAGAAGGCCUUCGGGUUGUAAAGCACUUUUGUCCGGAAAGAAAUCCUUGGCUCUAAUACAGUCGGGGGAUGACGGUACCGGAAGAAUAAGCACCGGCUAACUACGUGCCAGCAGCCGCGGUAAUACGUAGGGUGCAAGCGUUAAUCGGAAUUACUGGGCGUAAAGCGUGCGCAGGCGGUUUGCUAAGACCGAUGUGAAAUCCCCGGGCUCAACCUGGGAACUGCAUUGGUGACUGGCAGGCUAGAGUAUGGCAGAGGGGGGUAGAAUUCCACGUGUAGCAGUGAAAUGCGUAGAGAUGUGGAGGAAUACCGAUGGCGAAGGCAGCCCCCUGGGCCAAAUACUGACGCUCAUGCACGAAAAGCGUGGGGAGCAAACAGGAUUAGAUACCCUGGUAGUCCACGCCCUAAAACGAUGUCAACUAGUUGUUGGGGAUUCAUUUCCUUAGUAACGUAGCUAACGCGUGAAGUUGACCGCCUGGGGAGUACGGUCGCAAGGUUAAAACUUAAAUGAAUUGACGGGGUCAUAGCUGUUUCCU